GAACUAGAAAAGUGAACUUUUUAUUCGUCUUACCCCCGACAAAAAUUGGGCCCUUUGCCCUAAGUUUUUUUCAAGCAUCUCUUCGCACCGCUUGCCUGCUACACUCUUAUUCUUUCUCGCCUGCCACUCUCUUCUUCCUUCCUCGCCUGUAAUAAGCUGCUGCUACUGUGUGUCUGCCAUUAUCUUCUUCCUUCCUCGCCUGUCACUCUUUUCUUCCUUCCUCACCUGCAACAAGCUGCUGCUACUGUGUACCUGCCACUCUCUUCUUCCUUCCUUGCCUGCAACAAGCAGCUGCUAAUGUACGAAGCCUGAAACCAAUGUCGGCCAUUGCUCUUUUGUCUCACCAUUGAAGCACAAUCACUCAAAAAAGCUCAAAAAAGCGAAGAAAAAGGCAUUUUCAAAUGGAAUCCCGAACAUGACAAAUAUUUGUUGGAGAGCAUGGUAAAUAUGGGUGCUACAGACUUGCGAAAAAAGGAUUGGAUAGAAAUAUGCAGCAUGAUGAAUGAGGAGUAUGGACACGUAUUUCACAAAGAUAAGCUAAAAAACAAAGUCAAAUGUUUGAAGUUUAAGUAUAGGAGGGUUAGAGACCUCCUUCUAAAGCCUGGUUUCCAUUUUGAUGCAGUUUCUAGGAGAAUUGGAGGGUCUGGUCGGGAUAAGCUAAUGAAGAUGAAGGGAAGUGGAUCGACGUUGAUCUACCUUCUAUGGAGCACAUGGAUCGAGUUUUCGGGGAUUGGUAUAAUGCCGGCCAUGGAAUAUUUUAUUUUGAAUAAUAUGAUUGUGUUCUUGUGAUCAAAACCCAUGCAAAGUGUACUUUUCGAGUUCUUCUAAGGGAUAUUGUAUUUAACUUUUUAUUUUGUAACUUCGUAAUCUUCUUUUCAAUCUAAUGAGAUACAGUAUUCCGGA